GGAAGCAAAAGUCGUAACAAGGUUUCCGUAGGUGAACCUGCGGAAGGAUCAUUAUUGUAUAACCGAGGUGCGAGGGCUGUCGCUGACCCGAAAGGUCGUGCACGCCCGAGUGCCCUCACACACAUCCAUCUCACCCCUAUGUGCACCACCGCGUGGGUCCCCCUUUGGCUUGUUCGGAGGGGGGCUUACGUUUUCACACAAACUUUGUAUGCAGUGUAGAAUGUAUUUUUUGUUUUUGCGAUCACGCAAUCAAUACAACUUUCAACAACGGAUCUCUCGGCUCUC
rnacentral:misc_RNA from 1 species